GAUGAACGCUGGCGGCGUGCCUAACACAUGCAAGUCGAGCGAACAGUCGAGGAGCUUUCUCCUCUGCCGUUAGCGGCGGACGGGUGAGUAACACGUAGAUAACCUACCUCUAUGACUGGGAUAACUACGGGAGAACGGAUCUAAUACUGGAUCAUAUAUUGAACCGCAUGGUUCAAUAGUGCAUGACGGCUUUGCUGUCACUUAUAGCUGGUUCCGCGUCGGAUUAGCUAGUUGGUAAGGUAACGGCUUACCAAGGCUACGAUGCGUAGCCGAUCUGAGAGGGUGAUCAGCCACACUGGAACUGAGACACGGUCCAGACUCCUACGGGAGGCAGCAGUAGGGAAUAUUGGGCAAUGGGCGAAAGCUUGACGCAGCCAUGCCGCGUGAGUGAAGAAGGUCUUCGGAUUGUAAAGCUCUGUUAUUAGGGAAGAACAGCUGUAUGAGAAAAUCUGGCCGUUUUGACGGUACCUAAAGAGUAAGCAACGGCUAACUACGUG
rnacentral:rRNA from 1 species